rnacentral:tRNA from 1 species
GGUAAAUAUAGUUUAUUAUAGAAUAUUUAGUUUGCAACUAAACGGAGAUUUUUUCUUUUUACA